rnacentral:tmRNA from 1 species
GGGGUUGUUACGGAUUCGACAGGCACAGAUUGAGCUUGAGUUGCGUUUCGCAGGUGACGGCUGCGUACCAACGUCACAGUUAAAUUAACUGCAAACAAUAACAACAAUUCUUACGCUUUAGCUGCGUAAAAACAGCUUAGCGUGAUCCGACCGGCAUCGCCCAUGUGCUCGGCACCGGGUCCUAUAAUAAGUGGGAUACGUCUAUUCUUUCCGUCUGUAAGAAUAGAAAGAGAUUAACAGACUAGCGGCGCAUGAUGCCUGUUUUACGGCUAAUGCUUAGCGAAAUCCAAGUAGUAAAACUAUGAACGUAGAUACUUGAGUGCCAAUGUGCCUGGACAGGGGUUCGACUCCCCUCAACUCCAUAG